CCUACGGGAGGCAGCAGUGAGGAAUAUUCCACAAUGGGGGAAACCCUGAUGGAGCGAUGCCGCGUGCAGGAAGACGCUUUUCGGAGUGUAAACUGCUUUUAACAAGGAAGAUUAUGACGGUACUUGUAGAAUAAGGACCGGCUAACUACGUGCCAGCAGCCGCGGUAAUACGUAGGGUCCAAGCGUUAUUCGGAAUUACUGGGCGUAAAGCGUUCGUAGGCGGUUUGAUAAGUUGGAUGUGAAAUCCUGUGGCUCAACCACAUGGACUGUGUCCAAAACUAUCUGACUAGAGCAUAGUAGAGGCAAGUGGAAUUUGCGGUGUAGGAGUGACAUCCGUAGAUAUCGCAAGGAACACCAAUGGCGAAGGCAGCUUGCUGGGCUAUUUCUGACGCUCAGGAACGAAAGCGUGGGGAGCGAACGGGAUUAGAUACCCCGGUAGUCCACGCCGUAAACGAUGAUCACUAGCAGUAUGGAGAUUCGACCCUCUGUGUUGCACAGCUAACGCGUUAAGUGAUCCGCCUGGGGAGUACGGGCGCAAGCUUAAAACUUAAAGGAAUUGACGG
rnacentral:rRNA from 1 species